GAUGAACGCUAGCUACAGGCUUAACACAUGCAAGUCGAGGGGUAACGAGAGGAAAGCUUGCUUUCCUUGUCGACGACCGGCGCACGGGUGAGUAACGCGUAUCCAACCUGCCCCCAACUAGGGAAUAACCUUGCGAAAGUAAGACUAAUACCCUAUAAUUUCCUCAGAUGUCAUCUGACGAGGAAUAAAGAUUUAUCGGUUGUGGAUGGGGAUGCGUCUGAUUAGCUUGUUGGCGGGGUAACGGCCCACCAAGGCAACGAUCAAUAGGGGUUCUGAGCGGAAGGUCCCCCACAUUGGAACAGAGACACAGUCCAAACUCCUAGGGGGGGCAGCAUUGAGGAAUAUUGGUCAAUGUGCGGAGGCCUCAACCAGCCUAGUAGCGUGCAGGAUAACGGCCCUAUGGGUUGUAAGCUGCUUUUAUACAGGAAUAAAGUUAGCCACGUGUGGUUAUUUGUAGGUACUGUAUGAAUAAGGACCGGCUAAUUCCGUGCCAGCAGCCGCCGUAA
rnacentral:rRNA from 1 species